rnacentral:misc_RNA from 1 species
GAGGGAGGGGGCUUGCCCCCGAUGGCGAUGGGUCAGUCGACACCUACAUCAACUGACAGAUUGCAAUCGGGGGCAAGCCCCCUCCCAC